AACAUGGGACACUUGAGGACAUGAAGGAAAGACCCUCCUCUGUCAGACUGAACACGGGACGUUUGAGGACUGGAAGCUAAGAAGCCCCUCCAGGAUCUGCUCUGGGAUCAGCCUCUCAUCAGUUGAAGCCCCGCCCCUUCAGGGCCAGGAUCUGCUCUGGGAUCAGCCUCUCAUUAGGUGAAGCCCCGCCCCUUCAGGACCAGGAUCUGCUCUGGGAUCAGCCUCUCAUCAGGUGAAGCCCUGCCCCUUCAGGACCAGGAUCUGCUCUGGGAUCAGCCUCUCCAGGUGAAGCCCUGCCCCUUCAGGACCAGGAUCUGCUCUGGGAUCAGCCUCUCCAGGUGCUGAGCUUCAGAGACAUCAAGGCUGUGUUUGUGGAAAUAAAGAGUGAACUGAA